rnacentral:lncRNA from 1 species
GUGAGGAGUUAACCCCUGCCCUAGGCUCCCUUGCUCCUCUUGCCACCCGCCUCCCCACCACUAGCCCCUGACUGCCUCCCUGCUGUCACCAGGGUCCCUUUGCUUUGUGCUGGGGGGACCUGCCACCUCCCCCUCCCCUAUGUGCCCCAUCUGAAGGCGUCCCGUGGGUCCCCAGGUGUAAUCGUGCAGGAGCCUUCCCCAGCGCACAUCCCUGAGUCUGCGGGCCAGGGCCUGUCCUCCUGGCCGCCAUUGGCCAGAGGCGUCCCAGGGCUGUCCUGGGAAUGUCUCUGGAACAGCAGGUCCUUCCAGUGCUGGGUUCCAUCCUGCAGCGUGGUUAAUGGGCAUGUAGAAGGCACAAUGUGCCCAGCUGCUGCCCAGGACAGAGUGGACAUGGCCUGCCUGGGAGCUGAUUCUCUUCUGGGAAUGCGGGAUGCAGAGAAGUACCAUGGGGAACGGCGGACAGCAUGCUGGCCGCAGGCCACUGACUAGCUUAUCUCCUGUAGCUGCCUGGUGACAAUUUGACUUUUCCCACAGUUCCUCCCACUGCCCUUCUUGACAAUGGGGUGGGUCACUCUGACCUCUUGAUUGACUUGCACUUUGACCAAAGGGGAACUCCGGGGGAGGCUGGAGGAGCCAGGCCUGGGAUGAAGGCAUCUGUUGAAAGCCGUCUCUGGGUUGCAUUGUCUGAAAGCCAAGAGAUGCCUGAACGAAGGUGGCUUUGUGGGCAUGUGACUUGGGUGGUCAUAUAGACACCUGCACUCUGGAAGGACCCCACGUGCCAAAGGACCCCACACUCCAAAGGACCUCAUGAUUGGUUUAAUGCCUUACUGGUCACUGUUGGUUUAAGGACUCCUUUGAACAGGGCCCUUUCGUUUUCAUCUUGCACUGGGCCCUACAAAUUACACAGCCGGUCCUGGCCCUGAGGUGCCCCCGCCAUGGGUUUCUUACCAACAAUUUGGGAAUGUCUGUUUUCUCCUGAGUGAUGUCCCUUGUCAUGGCCUGCUGUGGGCAGUUCAUUCAUUCUGGUUCAGAGUCGGUCCUGAACCCAGGCUGCAGAGCCCGGAACCUCCUAGUCCACAAAGGGCAGAGGUUCCUCCUGAAGAGGCAGGGAGAGGACAGGGUGUGCUGUGUCCACAUCCUCCUCCCCUCCCUAGACAGCACAAGUCCCCAAAGUGCUUGGGAUGCGAGGGUGGCCAUCCACAGGGACCCCUCGGUGGGGACCACACGUGGUUAGUGCCAGGAUCUGGCCUGGACCUUGGCAUACAUCCCCUCCUGGCCUCCCUGGGGACGGGAGGGACUGACUGUGCCAGGGUUCCCAGGGCUGGGUUCUAAGGGAGCUUUUUAAAACCACUUCCUGGUCCGGAAAGAGGAGGACACCAAUUAAGUGCCUGGCUGAGGCCUGAGACCCAAAUGGCCUUGAGUCCAGUCUUUCACUUAAAGUCCAAGUUUCCAAGAACCUGUCAAAGAUGCCAAGUUGGGAUCUUUCCAGAGACCCCUCAAUUCGGGACUUCCUCCAAAGGACACAUCUUCCGACACUGGAAGAAGCUUUCAAAAGAGCUCCCCAAAGGAUCCCAUCCAGGGUGCCGCAUCCCAUUCAGUCGUCAUGUCUCCUAGGCUGCUCUGGUCUGUGACAGUUUCUUACUGUUCCUUGCUUUUGAUGAACUUGACCGCUUUGGGGAGUACAACUCCAAUGUUUUGCGAAAUGCCCUCCGAUCUGAGUAUGUCUGAUGUUUUCAUCAUGGUUAGACCAGGAUGAUGGGUUUCUGUCACGUCGUAUCAGUAGAGGGUACAUGAUACCCACAUGGCCUUGUUUUUACUUUUAAGAAAUUCUGGAAAUGUCAACAAUACUGCAUAUUUCUUAUGGGAUGUGUAUCUGUAUCUCAGCCAUCGUAUGUGGUAAGAUGUUAACAUUGCACUCUCCUGCAAUCUGUCUCACUCAAUCUCAGAGUCGUGGAGGUCCCCACACCAAAGGGACCCCUGUGGUUAACUCUGAGGGAGGGUGGUGGGGACUAGUUAUGGUCCCCUGGAACCUGUGAAUGUGACCGUAUUUGGGAAAAGUGUCUUUGCAAAUAUAGUUUAGGAUCUCAAGAUGAAAUCCCCCUGGAUUCGUGCAGGCCCCAAGUCCAAUGACAAGUGUCCUUAGGAGAGAAGAGAAGAGGAGACACACACAGGAGCAGUCUAUGUGAAGUCGCAGGCAGAGAUUGGAGCAAUGGGGUCGCAAGCCUGGGACAGCUAGAGUCCCCAGAAGCUGGAAGAGCCCAGGAAGGAUCCUCCCCUAUAGCCUCUGGAGGGAGUGUGACUCUGUCUACACCUUCAUUGUGGACUUCUGGCCUCCAGAACUGUGAGAGAAUAAGUUUCAAGCAACGCACUUUUUAGUGACUUGUUACAGUAGACAUGGGAAGCUAAUACAGGCACCAUAAAUUGCUAUUAUUAUUCUUAUUCCACUUGUCCUUCAACCGAAGUGCACAUCCCCAUCUCAGCUGAGUGUAGCACAGCUGGGCUGUGUGCAAAUUCCCCGUGACCAAUGACAGUGCAAUGUUAACAUCUUCCUACACUCAGGGGCCUCUGGCUCUGCCGGCUGCCUUCCUGCAGGCCCUGUCCCUGGCGGGUGUAGCGCCCCCAUCGCUACCUCCCUUGCUACAUGAUCUUUGAGGAAACUUUUCUGACAUCCUGCAAUCUGCCUUGACCAAUUUCCUGGAUGAAAUUAGACCUCGUCACAAACAUUGAACCAUGCAGCUGCCUGAGUUCCUGGAGGCUGUGCCUCCCCCACUGGGUGUUUAGAAAACCGUCAGGCUCGGCCGGGCACGGUGGCUCAU